CGGUAUUCUAAAAAAGUCUAAGAUUUUUCUUAAUUUUUUUCCUAAGUCUAAAAAAAUUGACUUAGGUAAGUCAAAAACUUAAGUCGGUAUUCAAUAUAAACUUAAGUCAGAGACUUAGCUAAGUCUGCGUAAAAAAACUUAGUCAGGUUCAUACCCAUGCGUGCGCAUGUUGUCAAGGGAAAUCCCAUGAAAAAUUUCCUGACGUCACGGGAUAUCCCCGGAAUUCCCCGGAUGUUUACAGCAGACGACACUCGUAAACAAAAUGACAGAUGUUGAUAACGCCGGUAGUUGUGGUAGUUCACGGAAAAGGCAGCCAAACUGGACGAAGGAUGAGUGCCUCCUAUUAGCGGAUCUCGUCAAGGCGAGCAAGCAAACGAUUGAGGGGGAAAUUUUCCCAGGGAGUGACGGCCACGAGUCGCCAGGAGACAUGGCAAAAAAUCACUGACACCAUCAAUUCAAUUGGACACCAACAAAGAAGCAAAGAUGAGGUUAUAAAGAAAUGGAAAAACCUUAAGAGUGCGGGCAAAAAAAUUACAGCACUUUCAAGAAUGCAACAACUGCAACCGUUACAGAAGCUGUGGUGGACUGUAUAGGCCGGGAGAAUACAGUGCUGACAGGGAUUGGGCCGAUGUCCAUGGAUUCUAGUUUCAUCCAGCUCCUAGAGCUAGAUCAGUCCUUUGAAAAAGAGUUAGAUCCAGUUCAAGAGGGAGUCAGAUGUCCUUUUCCUACAUCACAGGUGGGACAGUCAUCAUCAUCAGCAGCAGCAGCAGCAUCAGCAUCACUAUCAGCAGCAGCAUCCAUAUCAACAACUUCCUUAGAAGUCCUAGAAAGAGAGAAGUUUCUACUUGAGAUUGAAGUUCUAAAGUUACAGAAAACUUAUCUUCAAUCAAAAUUAAGGAAAUUAGAAGAAUAGCUGUAUCAAAUACUAGUAGUCAGUAUCAGUUUAUGUCUGUAUGACUAGUUCAACCUACACACAAAAAUCUUGAUUAAGCACAAAGCAUUGAAGUUAUGAUUUGUUGGUAUGUGUGACUUAUCCAUUAAUAUGAAAUAGAAUUUUGUGUCUAUUUAUGUCUAAUUAUUAACAUGUAUGAGUUGUACUGGGGUAUUUUUUUGACAAAAGUAAAUUUGGUCAUUGUAUCUAUAUGUAUCUCUCAAAGGUAGAUUUGCUCAAUGUUCAGAGCUAAUGACAGCAGAUUAACAAAAACUAAAAAAAUAACAGAAUAUGG
rnacentral:misc_RNA from 1 species